CGGUUGGGAGAGCUGCGGUUGCGCGGCUCGUUAGAGUAAGUCUCUACCCGGCUG
rnacentral:ncRNA from 1 species